GAUCAUGGAUUCUAAUUAGGUCGUAUUACAAGCACAUGCACGUCAAUCGAUCAAUUGGUCUUCAACUCUUGAAUUGGUUCCAAGCCUCCUUGAUUCGAUCCUUGACCAACUCUUGAUCCAAUCGCCAUCAACCGCUUAGACCCCUGUUCAUCUCAUGCCUUGUUUUCAACUUGAUCGUUGACGUACAUCACAUCACAGAAAUACAACCAGAUGUAAAAUAAAAAUAAUAAUAAAUUACAUCUUCUUUUAGGAGGCACGCAGGCCUCUCAAAACAUCAAAUAAGAUGCAUGCAAGCAUCUGAAAAAUUACAUGACAUUGCAGAUCACAUCGCAGGUCUUUACAUUUAAUACCAAAAGGGUUUGAAUCCUAUGAUCAUCACCACAUGCAGCAAUUAUAAUUUUCAGAUCUGAAAACUAACUGAUUAUCUCUUGACAUAGGUUGCUGAUCAUGCUAAUCAUGAUUCUAAACUUUGUAAUCUCAUUAACAAUGCAAUUAGAAUCAUCAUCUUAUCACAUAAAAAUCA
rnacentral:lncRNA from 1 species